rnacentral:miRNA from 1 species
CCUCAGCCCUCCAGUUCUGAGUCUUAGCUUCCUCCCUCUGCUCCUUCUGAAGUAUCUUUUAUGUUCUUAUAGCAGCAGCAGCAGCAGCAACAGCAGCAGCAGCAGCAGCAACAGCAACAGCAACAGCAGCAGCAGCAACAGCAAC